AAGAGAAGAGGGAAAGGAGAAGAAGAAGAAGAAAGGGAAGAGCAAAGGAGGAGGAAGAAAUGGGGAGCAAAGGGAGCAUGUACCCAUUUAAGGAGUAGAACCAAGAAGUGACGUGACAACACGGUACGAGGUCAUCGGUUACCCAUCAUCACCUAGGACUCGAGAUGUGGAUUCAGGUAACCAUUUAGAGAUUGUGGUUGAGGAGUCGGCCCUCUAUGGAGGUGACCUCUGGGACAAGGAACUGGUCAUGCACGAGGACGGCUAUGUAUGUGAUGAUUGUGCUUUCGGAGCACACUGAGGAUGAGAGUAUCUUCACUUUUUAUUUUGUUUAUAUAUCAGAUGUAGCCCUAGGGACACAACAGUAAUUAACUUUUCGCUGCGAAAAUAUUUUUUUAAUUAUGAUAAAUAUUAUUGGACUCCA